rnacentral:rRNA from 1 species
UCCUACGGGAGGCAGCAGUGAGGAAUAUUGGUCAAUGGAGGCAACUCUGAACCAGCCAUGCCGCGUGAAGGAUGACGGCCCUAUGGGUUGUAAACUUCUUUUAUAGAGGAAGAAACUUGAUCUACGUGUAGCUAACUGACGGUAUCUACGAAUAAGGAUCGGCUAACUCCGUGCCAGCAGCCGCGGUAAUACGGAGGAUCCAAGCGUUAUCCGGAUUCAUUGGGUUUAAAGGGUCCGUAGGCGGGUUUUUAAGUCAGUGGUGAAAGCCGACAGCUCAACUGUCGAACUGCCAUUGAUACUGGAAACCUUGAGUACAAAUGAAGUAGGCGGAAUGAGUCAUGUAGCGGUGAAAUGCAUAGAUAUGACUCAGAACACCGAUUGCGAAGGCAGCUUACUAACAUGUAACUGACGCUGAGGGACGAAAGCGUGGGGAGCGAACAGGAUUAGAUACCCUGGUAGUCCACGCCGUAAACGAUCAUCACUCGCUGUUGGCGAUAUACUGUCAGCGGCCAAGCGAAAGUA